rnacentral:rRNA from 1 species
UACGUAGGGUGCGAGCGUUGUCCGGAAUUACUGGGCGUAAAGAGCUCGUAGGUGGUUUGUCGCGUCGGGAGUGAAAACCAGGUGCUUAACACCUGGCCUGCUUUCGAUACGGGCAGACUAGAGGUAGGUAGGGGAGAAUGGAAUUCCUGGUGUAGCGGUGAAAUGCGCAGAUAUCAGGAGGAACACCGGUGGCGAAGGCGGUUCUCUGGGCCUUACCUGACACUGAGGAGCGAAAGCGUGGGGAGCGAACAGG